rnacentral:misc_RNA from 1 species
GAAAUGCGAUAAGUAGUGUGAAUUGCAGAAUUCAGUGAAUCAUCGAAUCUUUGAACGCACAUUGCGCCCCUUGGUAUUCCAUGGGGCAUGCCUGUUCGAGCGUCAUUUGUACCCUCAAGCUCUGCCUGGUGUUGGGUGUUUGUCCCCGUCUCCGCGCGUGGACUCGCCCCAAAGUGAUUGGCAGCCGGCGUACUGGUCCCGGAGCGCAGCACAUGUCGCGCAAACGAGUGCCUUGGUACGGCGGCGUCCAUAAGCCCCUCUCUCACGCUCUUGACCUCGGAUCAGGUAGGGAUACCCGCUGAACUUAAGC